UGGGGAAUUUUCCGUAAUGGGCGAAAGCCUGACGGAGCAAUACCGCGUGAGGGAGGAAGGCUUUUGGGUUGUAAACCUCUUUUAUUAAGGAAGAUAAUGACGGUACUUGAGGAAUCAGCAUCGGCUAAGUCCGUGCCAGCAGCCGCGGUAAUACGGAGGAUGCAAGCGUUAUCCGGAAUAAUUGGGCGUAAAGCGUUCGUAGGUGGUUUUGCAAGUCUGCUGUUAAAGCGUGUAGCUUAACUACAUAAUGGCGGUGGAAACUGCAAAACUAGAGUGCGUUCGGGGCAGAGGGAAUUCCUGGUGUAGCGGUGAAAUGCGUAGAUAUCAGGAAGAACACCGGUGGCGAAGGCGCUCUGCUAGGCCGCAACUGACACUGAGGGACGAAAGCUAGGGGAGCGAAUGGGAUUAGAUACCCCGGUAGUCC
rnacentral:rRNA from 1 species